GAUUGAACGCUGGCGGCAGGCCUAACACAUGCAAGUCGAACGGUAACAGGAAGAAGCUUGCUUCUUUGCUGACGAGUGGCGGACGGGUGAGUAAUGUCUGGGAAACUGCCUGAUGGAGGGGGAUAACUACUGGAAACGGUAGCUAAUACCGCAUAACGUCGCAAGACCAAAGAGGGGGACCUUAGGGCCUCUUGCCAUCGGAUGUGCCCAGAUGGGAUUAGCUAGUAGGUGGGGUAAAGGCUCACCUAGGCGACGAUCCCUAGCUGGUCUGAGAGGAUGACCAGCCACACUGGAACUGAGACACGGUCCAGACUCCUACGGGAGGCAGCAGUGGGGAAUAUUGCACAAUGGGCGCAAGCCUGAUGCAGCCAUGCCGCGUGUAUGAAGAAGGCCUUCGGGUUGUAAAGUACUUUCAGCGGGGAGGAAGGUGUUGUGGUUAAUAACCACAGCAAUUGACGUUACCCGCAGAAGAAGCACCGGCUAACUCCGUGCCAGCAGCCGCGGUAAUACGGAGGGUGCAAGCGUUAAUCGGAAUUACUGGGCGUAAAGCGCACGCAGGCGGUCUGUCAAGUCGGAUGUGAAAUCCCCGGGCUCAACCUGGGAACUGCAUUCGAAACUGGCAGGCUUGAGUCUCGUAGAGGGGGGUAGAAUUCCAGGUGUAGCGGUGAAAUGCGUAGAGAUCUGGAGGAAUACCGGUGGCGAAGGCGGCCCCCUGGACGAAGACUGACGCUCAGGUGCGAAAGCGUGGGGGAGCAAACAGGAUUAGAUACCCUGGUAGUCCACGCCGUAAACGAUGUCUAUUUGGAGGUUGUGCCCUUGAGGUGUGGCUUCCGGAGCUAACGCGUUAAAUAGACCGCCUGGGGAGUACGGCCGCAAGGUUAAAACUCAAAUGAAUUGACGGGGGCCCGCACAAGCGGUGGAGCAUGUGGUUUAAUUCGAUGCAACGCGAAGAACCUUACCUGGUCUUGACAUCCACAGAACUUUCCAGAGAUGGAGGGGUGCCUUCGGGAACUGUGAGACAGGUGCUGCAUGGCUGUCGUCAGCUCGUGUUGUGAAAUGUUGGGUUAAGUCCCGCAACGAGCGCAACCCUUAUCCUUUGUUGCCAGCGGUUAGGCCGGGAACUCAAAGGAGACUGCCAGUGAUAAACUGGAGGAAGGUGGGGAUGACGUCAAGUCAUCAUGGCCCUUACGACCAGGGCUACACACGUGCUACAAUGGCGCAUACAAAGAGAAGCGAACUCGCGAGAGCAAGCGGACCUCAUAAAGUGCGUCGUAGUCCGGACUGGAGUCUGCAACUCGACUCCAUGAAGUCGGAAUCGCUAGUAAUCGUGGAUCAGAAUGCCACGGUGAAUACGUUCCCGGGCCUUGUACACACCG
rnacentral:rRNA from 2 species